rnacentral:rRNA from 1 species
UAWACGACUCUCGGCAACGGAUAUCUUGGCUCACGCAUCGAUGAAGAACGUAGCAAAAUGCGAUACUUGGUGUGAAUUGCAGAAUCCCGUGAACCAUCGAGUUUUUGAACGCAAGUUGCGCCCGAAGCCAUUCGGUCGAGGGCACGUCUGCCUGGGCGUCACGC